GCAACCUGUAUGGAGAGGGAGGACAGGUAAGUGGAUGAAUGACCUUAAGGGGAGUCUUGAAAUUUGUAGAGAAUAGUUUGCUUACAGAAAGGAGCUGGAGGAAACCACCAGAGGGUGAAACGAUGCAGAGCCUGGGAGGUCGGUGGAUGUUUUUUUGUUGAGGUAGCAUUUGUAAUCCCUAGAUGAAAGGCUUGGAUUAACACAGGUUUGAAUUGCAUUUUCCAGGAUUGAUGGUUGCCAGACAGAGGUGAGUUUUGCACUUGGUGGUGGACUCUGUUACUCACAGUAGAGGGUGGACUAGGUUUGCGUGCAGGUUGCUUGGAGCUUGGACACAGCCAGCUGGAGCUGGGUAGAACGAGGGAGUUUGGAAUCAGAGAUACUUAGAUCUUGCCAGAGAAGCGACACCGGGACUGGAGCCAAGGUCAGGAAAAAAACCUGAGAAGGAGCAUAACAACAAGGACUUGAUUGAUGAUAACCAACACCUGCUGCACACAUCUACAAGGAGCCCUGACGCCAUCUGGUGACUAAGCACAAGUCAGAGUGGCAGGGGCGGAGCCUUCUUCACACACCUGACCUGGAUCCUGCUGAUGAGUGCAGCUGGCAUUUAAGCUCUAGGAUGUGAUCCAUUCCUUGUCGGAUUAUUCAGUGACACUGGACACUUUGUGAAGUCUGGAACUCACCUUUUGCUGGAGCUUAAGGACUCUUGGAUGUGGACUCACUCUCCUGGAAACUCUCACCUGAAGGUCAACAAUCUUCUGUCCUGCCACUCUCCCUCUCUCUCUCGGACCUGUAACACAAACUUACCCCGAAAACGGAAUCACUUACCUCCUGGAUAUCUUGUGCCUCCUCCUCAGAGCUUACCUUCCUCCCAAGAGCCUGAUGAAUCAACUUCCAUCAUUUCCUUUUGUAAAUAAACUUCACUUAAACUUUUC